GUUUGCCUGUCAGCGCAGCAAGAAGUCGAACACACGUAUUUGCGUGCGCGCGCCUCGGUCGGUCCUUGUGAGUUCAAAGUGGAUUUUAACCGUUUACCUCAGACGACAGUUUUCAUUUCUAUGGUAAAUUCUAAGGUCAUUUUCUUGUUGUGUUGUGAUGUGUUCCAUUGGCUGAAGAGCAGAUUACCAUGCAAUUUGAUGAAGUGUGAUAAAAUACACAGAGGUGAAGUCACGUGUCUUUCCAGAUGCCCAAAUCUGUACCACUCAAAAGAUGAGCCUGAAGAGGAGAUUUGGGAAGAUGCUGUUUCAUAAGUCUUUGCUUUGCCAGAUCACCUGUGGUCGGGAUGUCUGCUAACAUGAUGCCUUGUUGGUCUGGGCGAGUUUGAAGUCUCUCACAGACAGUCCAGAAGGUCUGGAGUCCAUGUUAGCUUUUAUUGAUUAACUACAUACGGUCCCUUGGGGGAGCCAACCCAGGUGAAGUCCACUGAAGUCCCGUUUGCAUACAGCAUGAAAUGGAGGAAGGCAAUAUCCAAUUAAAAGAGACAGAAUAAGAUUGGACCAGAAUAUCACACUCUAAAUUCUGCUGGGUUAUUUUUAACCCAAUGCUGGAAUCAACACAGAAAAACUACAAGGCAUUAAAGGCCCUUGACGUGGAAGACUUAAUUGCAUUAGCCCUGAAAUUUGCCCCACACAGAAAUUUAAAAUGAUGGCAGAGAUUGCUGUGGAGUUCUGAAGUUCAUUUUUUAAAUGUUUUCAUUUUUAAUAUAUUAAAAUGUUUUUUAUGAUACAAUGUUCUACAUGUUUAUUGCCAAUUUUAUGUGUUAUAUAAGCAAAUUAUCUACCCUAUUAUAUUAUUAUCUAAGUCUAUAAAUUCUAUAAAUGAUCCUGUGAUUAAUGAUUUUGAUUUUAUGUCUACGAAUAAAGAAUCCAUGGAUCAACA